AUUGAACGCUGGCGGCAGGCCUAACACAUGCAAGUCGAGCGGAGCGGCGGACGGGCGAGUAAUGCCUAGGAAUCUGCCUGGUAGUGGGGGAUAACGUCCGGAAACGGGCGCUAAUACCGCAUACUAUCAGAUGAGUCUAGGGCGGAUUAGCUAGUUGGUGGGGUAAAGGCCUACCAAGGAGACGAUCCGUAACUGGCCUGAGAGGAUGAUCAGUCAAACUGGAACGGAGACACGGUCCAGACUCCUACGGGAGGCAGCAGUGGGUAAUAUUGGACAAGGGGCGAAAGCCUGAUCCAGCCAUGCCGCGGGUGUGAAGAAGGUCUUAGGAUUGUAAAGCACUUUAAGUUGGGAGGCGUUACCAACAGAAUAAGCACCGGCUAACUUCGUGCCAGCCGCCGCGGUAAUUC
rnacentral:rRNA from 1 species